rnacentral:rRNA from 1 species
UACGAAGGGGGCUAGCGUUGUUCGGAAUUACUGGGCGUAAAGCGUGCGCAGGCGGCUUCUCAAGUCAGGGGUGAAAGCCCAGAGCUCAACUCUGGAAUUGCCUUUGAGACUGAGUGGCUUGAGUACGAGAGAGGUGAGUGGAAUUCCCAGUGUAGAGGUGAAAUUCGUAGAUAUUGGGAAGAACACCGGUGGCGAAGGCGGCUCACUGGCGCAUAUCUGACGCUCAGGCGCGACAGCGUGGGGAUCAAACAGG